rnacentral:tRNA from 1 species
GCCUUCGUGGUGUAUUGGUCAGCACGCUCGACGCAUAAUACAGAGGUUCGUGGUUAGAUUCCCGGCGAAGGCG